AUGUUGAGUUUUAAGCCAGCUUUUUCAAGGGCAUCAGGAGGUGUAUUUCCACUGUAUGUCCAGGAGGCGGCGAGUUGGAAAUACUUGGGGGACCCAGCACUCCUGUUGUCCACGUCAGCCCCAGCCCUCCAGCCCCAGUGCUCCCAGGCAUCCCUCAUUGUUUGCAGGUGCCGUGCCAGGGGCUACAUCGCCAGCUGAUGAGGUGUGGUGGCCUGGAUCCCUCGCUGCAGGGAGCGUCAUUGUCUUAAGAUCUGAGUUGCAGCGUCUGGAAAUACGCCACCGGGUUUGCGUGGAGGCCACGCCCCUACCGCCUGCUCCAGCCAAUGAGUGAGCUGACAGGGGCGGAAGCCGCUUCACCAGAAGUGGACGGAAGGUCAGUGUCCACCCAGGGAUAUCCAGGUUCGGAGAGGCAUAGGACACUGAAGCCGUAGGGAACAGAAGAGCUCUGGGGACACUGGGAAGGGCCCCAGAUGAUCCUGUGGCUUGGCCUGCCCUGACAGUUCUGCUUUCAGAAUGACGUUUCUUGGGAAACAGGUGAAGGUCCUCAAUGGGCACAAACUUCCGGUGGAAGAUGAAAGUGUUCUGGGGAUCUAAUGCAUGGGUUUCCCUGGUAGCUCAGGGGUAAAGAACUCUGCCUGUCAAUGCAGGGGACAUGGGUUUGAUCCAACGUGCUGCGGAGCACUAAGACCAGGAGCCACAACUAUUGAGCCUGUGCUCUGGAGCCGGGGAGCUACAACUACCGAGCCCUCAUGCCCUGAGUUUGUGCUCUGCAACAAGAGAAGCCACCACAGUGAAAAGCUUGAGCACCACAACUCAAGAAAAAGCCCGAGGAGCGGCAAAGACC